rnacentral:rRNA from 1 species
UACGUAGGGUGCAAGCGUUGUCCGGAAUUAUUGGGCGUAAAGAGCUCGUAGGCGGUCUGUCGCGUCUGCUGUGAAAACUCGGGGCUUAACCCCGGGCCUGCAGUGGGUACGGGCAGACUAGAGUGCGGUAGGGGAGACUGGAAUUCCUGGUGUAGCGGUGAAAUGCGCAGAUAUCAGGAGGAACACCGGUGGCGAAGGCGGCUCACUGGCCCGGUACUGACGCUGAGGCGCGAAAGCUAGGGGAGCAAACGGG